AUAUGAUGUUUUUUUUUAAAUAUAUUCUAAGUUUAAAAAAUGUAUAACGGUGUCUUUUCGUAUUUUAGGUUUGGAGUUUUCAUUAUCCUCCCUUUGAAAUGAUCUCAGACUACGAUUUGACACCGAGCGUCUACUUAUCGAUGUGGUCGCAAUCAACUUUAGCCAUGUUUACGAGUGUCCUAUCCUAAUGGGCUAUCAAGGGUAUUCUUGUCUCAGGAAACGUCAACGUCUACUACAAAAGAGCUUACGCCAGCAGAAUAUUAAUGAUGAAGUAGCAAAUAUUUGCACUGAUAUUUCUGAAAACUAUUUAAAAUAUAAAUAAUGUAACAGGUCAGUUUCUCAGUUCGAUCGAAUCCCAAUGUUUUUUUAAACCGAACACUCAGAACCUACCACCAAUUACUUCGUGUCCGUUUUAAUUUUUUAGCAUUUCGAGAUAAAAGUUGUAAGAUAAUUUAAAUAUAUAGAACAAAGUCGUGUUAGUUACACCACUUUUAACUCAAGAUCAGCUGGACCGAUGUAAGUCACCCCUUUUUUGGUGCAUUCUUCUCCGCUCCAAAUAGCAGAAUGUUGUAUAUCAGAGAGUGCUUUCACAUGCAGUAUCGCAAUAUUGGCGCUAUAGAGAAGGGGCCUAAUGUGUAAAACGGCCAUUCUUCUUUCGCAAUAGCGAGCGAUAAAACAUUUCUGUAUUUGUAAUAAUGUUAUUACCUUAAUGAAAUCCUAAAUUAAGUUUAACUAAAGCGAGCACGAUAUUAUUAGAAUGUUAGUUGGAACGGAGUUCGGGCCGUGUCAGCUAGUAUAUUAUAAUAUAUUUAUAUACUCUGACAAAUAUGCUUUUCUUUUGUACUAAAUAAAUUACCUACAUUGUUAACAUAAGCACGGGAGACGUAAAUUUCUAUAUAAUCCAGUAAAAGGAGCUGACCAAAGUCAAUAUACAUGCAGAAGUCUUUUUUAUGGGAGUUAAAGUAUAACCGCCGCCCAUGGACACCUGUAACGCCAGGAGCUAGCGGGUGUGUUGCCAACCAUUUAAUGAAUAUUACGCUCUUUUGUUGUCUUUCCCUACAAAAUGC